rnacentral:rRNA from 1 species
UAUCUCUGUAGAGUCUGCAUAUCAAUAAGCGGAGGAAAAGAAACUAACUAGGAUUCCCUUAGUAACGGCGAGUGAAGCGGGAAGAGCUCAAUUUGAAAUCUUCAAGGUUUUACCUUGACGAAUUGUAGUUUAAAGAAGUGUUUUCUGUUGAAGUUUUGGUAAAAGUUCUUUGGAAUAGGACAUCAUAGAGGGUGAGAAUCCCGUAUUUGACCAGUUACUUUCCAGCUGUUGUGAUACACUUUCAAAGAGUCGGAUUGUUUGAGAAUGCAGUCCAAAAUGGGUGGUAAAUUUCAUCUAAAGCUAAAUACUGGCGAGAGACCGAUAGCGAACAAGUACCGUGAGGGAAAGAUGAAAAGAACUUUGAAAAGAGAGUUAAACAGUACGUGAAAUUGUCAAAAGGGAAGCGUUUGACACCAGUGUUGUUUUCUCGAAAAUCAAUUAGAAAAGGCAGGAUUUUGUGUUGUAUUGACUUUAUCAGCUUUCUGCACUCUUUUCUUGUCUUUUUUAAUGCACUUUUCGUUUAACAAGUCAACAUCAGUUUCUUUUGUUGUAAAGGGGUCAUUGGAAGGUGGCUUUCUUUUCGGAGAAAGUGUUUAUAGCCUUUGGCCUCUGCAAUCGGAGAGAUUGAGGUCUGCAGCGUAGAUCCUUCGGGGUUAGAUACAUUUGUGCUAAGUUAUAGCCUUUCAUAGACAACUUGUUGACUAUGAUCAGUCAUGUAGCUUACUCGCUUAUGCUAUUUUACCUACGCUUAGGAUGUUGAUCUGUAGUGCGUGCG